rnacentral:rRNA from 1 species
GUGAGAAUGCUGGCAUAAGUAGCGAAAAACAAGUGAGAAUCUUGUUGACCGAAUAUCUAAGGUUUCCUGGGGAAGGCUCGUCCUCCCAGGGUUAGUCGGGACCUAAGCCGAGGCCGAAAGGCGUAGGUGAUGGACAACUGGUUGAUAUUCCAGUACCACCAUAAUGCGUUUGACAAAUGGGAUGACGCAGGAGGAUAGGAUGUGCGCACUAUUGGAUGUGCGUCUAAGCACUUAGGGUGUUAAGUAGGCAAAUCCGCUUAACAUUAAGCCUGAGGUGUGAUGGGGAGCCUAUUUUGGCGAAGUAUCUGAUUCCCCGCUGCCAAGAAAAGUCUCUAUGGAGCAAAAUGGUGCCCGUACCGCAAACCGACACAGGUAGAUGAGGAGAGAAUCCUAAGGUCGUCGGAAGAAUUAUUGCUAAGGAACUCGGCAAAUUGACCCCGUAACUUAGGGAGAAGGGGUGCCUACGAGAGUAGGCCGCAGUGAAUAGGCUCAAGCAACUGUUUAUCAAAAACACAGGUCUCUGCUAAAGCGCAAGCUGAUGUAUAGGGGCUGACGCCUGCCCGGUGCUGGAAGGUUAAGGGGAAUAGUUAGCGCAAGCGAAGCUAUGAACUUAAGCCCCAGUAAACGGCGGCCGUAACUAUAACGGUCCUAAGGUAGCGAAAUUCCUUGUCGGGUAAGUUCCGACCCGCACGAAUGGCGUAAUGAUUUGAGCACUGUCUCGGCAAUAAAUCCGGUGAAAUUGUAGUGCAAGUGAAGAUGCUUGCUACCCGCGGUUGGACGGAAAGACCCCGUAGAGCUUUACUGUAGCUUAGCAUUGAAUUUCGGUAUUGUCUGUACAGGAUAGGUGGGAGACUUAGAAGCGAGGGCGUCAGCUUUCGUGGAGUCGUCCUUGGGAUACCACCCUGACAGUACUGGAAUUCUAACUGGAGGCCAUGAAUCUGGUCACAGGACAUUGCUAGGUGGGCAGUUUGACUGGGGCGG